rnacentral:rRNA from 1 species
UACGUAGGGGGCAAGCGUUGUCCGGAUUUAUUGGGCGUAAAGAGCGUGUAGGCGGCCUGACAGGUCUGCUGUGAAAACUCGAGGCUCAACCUCGAGAUGUCGGCGGAAACCGUCUGGCUAGAGUCCGGAAGAGGAGAGUGGAAUUCCUGGUGUAGCGGUGAAAUGCGUAGAUAUCGUGAGGAACACCAGAGGCGAAGGCGGCUACCUGGACAAUUGCUGACGCUCAGGCACGAAAGCGUGGGGAGCAAAAGGG